rnacentral:rRNA from 1 species
GAUGAACGCUGGCGGCGUGCCUAAUACAUGCAAGUCGAACGAAACUUCUUUAUCACCGAGUGCUUGCACUCACCGAUAAAGAGUUGAGUGGCGAACGGGUGAGUAACACGUGGGCAACCUGCCCAAAAGAGGGGGAUAACACUUGGAAACAGGUGCUAAUACCGCAUAACCAUAGUUACCGCAUGGUAACUAUGUAAAAGGUGGCUAUACUACCGCUUUUGGAUGGGCCCGCGGCGCAUUAGCUAGUUGGUAGGGUAAAGGCUUACCAAGGCAAUGAUGCGUAGCCGAAUUGAGAGGUUGAUCGGCCACAUUGGGAAUGAGACACGGCCCAAACUCCUACGGGAGGCAGCAGUAGGGAAUCUUCCACCAUGGGCGAAAGCCUGAUGGAGCAACGCCGCGUGGGUGAAGAAGGUCUUCGGAUCGUAAAACCCUGUUGUUAGAGAAGAAAGUGCGUGAGAGUAACUGUUCACGUUUCGACGGUAUCUAACCGGAAAGCCACGGCUAAAUACGUG